UACCUAAUUAGUGGUAUUCUUUUGUUUUUCCUCCCAUUUUUGAUAAAAAUCACAGGUGGGCAAUACCCUUAGGGAUUCAGGUGGGCUGAGUUUAGUCUUAUGGUGCUUCUGUACUAACUUACCUUUCUAAAUUAAAUGAGUUAGGCUUCUGAAAUAUUGGAACAGUUGGCAGUUGCUGUAGACUUUUCUGAGCAUAAUCAACUAAUGUUGGCUUGUUAUUAGGCACAUGCAAGUUUAGUCUCAUUUGAUUCUGUCAUUUCAAAGUUUUUAAUGCAAUUUAUUUUUUACCUAGGUAUAUGUGAAGACUUUUUUUGGCAGUUUAGCGUGGAAACCAUUGAUCACCGUGCCUUCAUUUCUACCUGCUCUUUGUUGGCAAGGCAGAGUGCCCAAAUGAGCAAGAUUUCGCAGCAAAACAGUACUCCAGGAGUGAACGGAAUAAGUGUUAUUCAUACUCAGGCACAUGCCAGCGGCUUACAGCAAGUUCCACAGCUGGUGCCUGCUGGCUCUGGGGGAGGAGGCAAAGCUGUGCCUCCAAGCAAACAAAGCAAAAAGAGCUCGCCCAUGGAUCGAAAUAGUGAUGAGUAUCGUCAACGCAGAGAGAGGAACAACAUGGCUGUGAAAAAGAGCCGGUUGAAAAGCAAGCAGAAGGCACAAGAUACACUGCAAAGAGUGAAUCAGCUCAAAGAAGAGAAUGAACGGUUGGAAGCAAAAAUUAAAUUGCUGACUAAGGAAUUAAGUGUACUAAAAGAUUUGUUUCUUGAGCAUGCACACAACCUUGCAGACAAUGUGCAGCCCAUUAGCACUGAAAAUACAACAGCAAAUUCUGAUAAUGCAGAACAGUAGACCUCAUCCUUUCUAGACUUCACAACUUGUGGCUUGAACAUUAAAGGUGUGACCACCUACAUCACUCAUAUCAAUGGCUGAGUGUUGUUUUGUUGCAUUAUUCAAAGAUCCAUAGGAGGUCAUUUUCUAGGAUCAGCACUGAAGAGUUGAUUAGUUAAAAAUGUUAGCCAUAUAAUUGAAUAUCUGGUUUAAAAUGAUACGGAUUUUUGUGAGGAUCAAAAACCAAAAAUUUUUAAGGUUUAUAAAAAAUUAUAUAUAUCCUGGACCUUGAUGUGCUUAAUAAAUCCUGACUUCUCAAGAAAUGCUUCUUUUUUAGGUUGACAAAAGCAAUGGGAAACUGAUACCAAAAAGCAGUCCAAAUGUUAAACCACUCUGAAGAACAGGCAGAUGGUUUGUUGUCUUUUCAUGUUUCCAGCCCAGGGUAUGUGUAUGGGGAGCGGGGGAUUGUGGUGUGGGGAGAAUGUGGUGGUGGGGGACAAGCAGGGGUGCUUUGGUCCAAGUCUAGAUUUCCCUUAGUGGCUAGGGAAAUAGUUUUCUCUGAACAUGGAAUGCAUCUUUAGUUAUAUUUUUAGUCACUUGGUCUAAUCUAGAAAUGGGUACUGGAAUAGGGAAAGCAAUAAAUGGGUUCCUGCUUUAUCACCUAGUGUCUCUGUGUGUGGUUUCCAUUUAGUGGUAAGAAAUUUGUAUGUUUUGAGGUAGUCAAGAAUGUGAAGUAAGGCCUUUCCCCUAAUACAAUUUUAUGGUGUAUACAUUAUCUUUAUUUACAUGAUACCACACAGUGUCUAUAGAGAUGAAUUUGAUUCCAUAAAUAUUGUGAGUCCAAGAAGGCGAUUUGAAUUGAGCGUUUCAAGAGAAAAUGCCAUUUAGAUACUUUUCUUCUAUGAUCCUUCAACUAUUUUCAUGUCUUGGGAAAUAAAUUUCUACUUGUUGCAUCUUAAUGAAAAUUGUAUUACAGUAAUUAUUCUGUGGUUAGUAUGUCCCAUUUCAUUUUUAUGAAUUAGUUGUAAUGCAGAAUCCAGUAACUUGUCUUGGGGAAUUUUAUAGAGAGAUUAUUUCUUUGUGAAGGUGCCAGGUCUUUUUUAAUAAAAGCACUUUUAGACCUAC